UUUUAUUAUGAGAGUUUGAUCCUGGCUCAGGACGAACGCUGGCGGCGUGCCUAAUACAUGCAAGUCGAACGCUUCUUUCCUCCCGAGUGCUUGCACUCAAUUGGAAAGAGGAGUGGCGGACGGGU
rnacentral:rRNA from 1 species